UGGGUGGGCGGGGUCAUUAAUCCUCCCUUUGGGAUAUCCAUGUCUCACUUUUCCAGCGGUUGAGUUUAGAUCGCUGGUCUUUCCUGCAGAAAAUUUCCUUGAAGGGCUGUGGGGAAGGUCUACCCGAUCGGUUUGUUGCAGGUAGCCUUUUCAAGCUUAGGAACCAACUUCAGCUGUGUUCCACAUUUUUGAGAACCCACCAGAAGUUUAAGGAUUGUGUGGUGCUAAGAGGCAAAGUUAGGUCUCAUCCUCUCUUUGUUCUCGCAAUAACCCCGUGCAAUAGGUUGCCAGCGGUUCAGGGGGAAAAUACCUGGCCUGACUCACUUCUGUCAACAGUGGCUGCCAAUGUAGAAAUCAGCAGGUGACAAGAGUUCAAGGUAAAAAAAAAUAAAGCAAUACAACUGCAUGAUGUCUGCAAAUCAAGCCAUGGCCAACAGCAUAAAGGUACAUGCUUCUUCAAGUUGAGCUUGUGAUGACUCCAAGGACGCACCCAGGCAGUUUAUUUGACAACAAUAUGGAAGCAGCUUGCCAUUCCCUUCUUCCUGGGUGUUAUUUUGAUUUCCCAGUUUACAUUACAGCCUAGGUAUUUCCUGUUUGUCUCCCAUCUAAGCCCUAAUCAUACCACCUCGGUUGAGGUUGAGCUUGAAUAGCUGAUGAAGAUCAGGACAUUCUCCCAUCCCCCCUUCCCAUCUUCACAACUGCUUUUAGGGAAAAAGAAACCAAUCCAGGAGAUGCCAAACACAUUGUGCUUUUAAACCCACCGUGGUAGCAAUAGCUGAAUUAAUAAAGGAUUUGGGGUGAAGAGUGUCCUGCUCAAAUCCAUCCAUGGGACCUGUGGUUUGUCAAGAGGCACCGCAGUAAGAUGGAAGCAGCUCAGUGGAGUCUUCUCAUGCAAGCUUACCAGCCUAUUCUCCCAGAUCCGUACUUGACUUGUCAUUCCCUGCUGCAGCAUUUCCAAGAAAUUCUGGGCUCGGAGCAAUCCUGCACGGAUUCUGCAUCUCAGGACCAGCUUUGGACUGCAGGCCGCCUGAGUGAAGCAGCCAGAUUUCGAGAAUUCCUUGCUUUUUCUCUGCUCCGUAGUCUUGCUCGAUGAAACAAUCUGGAAAAUUCAGAUAUCUGCAUCUCUUUUGCCUUGUUUUGGUUAACCCUAACAAAAGCAUCACCCAGUAAUGGAUUUUAGAUGUGGUUUCCUCUAUGGGCCAAGAGUUGCUUUUGACAUUCCACUGUAUCUGACCAAACUUCCCGUCAACUUCUUUGCUCUGCUGUCACUGUACCCAGCUCCCUGGGGCCAUUCCAGCAAAAUUUCUUGGAUGGAGUGUUGCAACAAGCAGGGGCUGUCUCUGUCGAUGUUGCAAUGCUAAAGGAUUGGGCAGCCCCCAAUCCCGGAUAAUUUUGCACGUCAACUCCCCCGUGAUGCACUUUGGAGCAAAAGGAGCAGAAGAAAAUGAAAGGAUUGAUAAACAAAGGAAACAUCUGAUUUCAGAUUCAUUCUCUGGGGCUUGUUUGCAGGAAUGGAACUGGCAUCGUUCUUUGGCCCUUAGAGCAAGAACGUCUCUCUCUCCUCCCCACUUGGGUCUCCACUCACUGAACUGAGAUUUCCUGUCAGCUCAUCGGUCUGUGGUCAUUUUUUUCUCCUGUCCCUUGCAGGUCCUCCCCUCGUUUUGCAAUGAGACGGUGACAUGGCACUGUUGCAAUAGCAUCAGUGAGGGAAGACUGGUUUUGACAUGGCUGUAGCUGAACAUCAGCACCUGCAACUGAAACAAGAAAUCACUUCCUUGCUUCA